CAAUAAUAAAAUAAUAAUAAAAAGAAAAGAAGAAGAAGAGAGAGAAAAUAAUUAAAAAAAAUGUGGGACCCACUGAAUUUUUAUAAAAACUCACCUGUUCCUUCAUUUCUUCAUUCCUUCUUUCGUGCGUGAGCUUCGGCAGAGAGAGCAUCUGUGAGCCAAAUUCACCGGUGCUGGGUUUUAAGGAGAAGAGCCAAGAGUGACACGUGGAGGAGUCCCAGAGGCUUAGUGGUAUAGAUCCACUGUCUCUUUUGGGUAUUUAAUUUAUGAUUUAUAAUGUAUUAUAUUGCCAAUAUUAGGGCUUUUUGUUUAUUGUCAAUUAUAUGAAUAUAUAAAUGUAAUCAUGCCUUUCAAACUA